UAGGGAAUCUUCCACAAUGGACGCAAGUCUGAUGGAGCAACGCCGCGUGAGUGAAGAAGGGUUUCGGCUCGUAAAGCUCUGUUGUUAAAGAAGAACGUGGGUAAGAGUAACUGUUUACCCAGUGACGGUAUUUAACCAGAAAGCCACGGCCAACUACGUGCCAG
rnacentral:rRNA from 1 species